UACGUAGGGUGCGAGCGUUAAUCGGAAUUACUGGGCGUAAAGCGUGCGCAGGCGGUCUGUUAAGACCGAUGUGAAAUCCCCGGGCUUAACCUGGGAAUGGCAUUUGGGACUGCAAGGCUGGAGUGUGGCAGAGGAGACUGGAAUUCCUGGUGUAGCAGUGAAAUGCGUAGAUAUCAGGAGGAAUACCGAUGGCGAAGGCAGGUCUCUGGGCUGACACUGACGCUCAUGCACGAAAGCGUGGGGAGC
rnacentral:rRNA from 1 species